rnacentral:rRNA from 1 species
AUGCCGACCUCGAGUCCUGGGAUAGUCACAGAGCACAACCUCCUAGGACAUGAGCACACCUCAUCUGACACACCGAAGCAACCUAGGACACCUGAAAAACAGCGGGAAAGCCACCGGGAGGAGCCACUGAAGAACGAGCAGCACGGACAUCAGGAGAGGCCGCAGAACGACGAGGAGCAGGAGUCGUCGGCUGCUGAAGAGAAACACCGGGCGUCCACGGCCAGGGACGUGCUGCUACUGCCGGGAAGAGGAACCCUAUCCCCUACCGCCGGAUCGCAGACGCCGUACCGCCGGAGCUGA